GACAAACUACCCUUCCCUUACACUGUGCCAAAAUUUCUUGAUGAAUGCACCAAUAUACACUCUUCAAAAUUAACUGAAAUAAACUCUUUUUACAUUGGCUUCCUUUGAAAGUUUAGAAGGUUUUCUCUCUCCUGUAAAGUGUUUUUCAUUGGACAGUGACUAUUUGAAAUUGGAAAUGUUUUACUUAUUUAUAGUUAUAAAUAAAGAACUCCGGAUUGUGUCUCAGACCCCAGGUUUUGAACAGUGUCUGGUGUAAUUUGGAUGGGUGUAGAUAUAGAUGUGAGAUUAUCGGCUCUUUCUCUGCUCUGCUGGGAUUUUUCAGGGCAGUCUGGUGGCCUUUUCCUCUGAGAGGUUCUCAGUGUUCGAGCGUCUUUGGUAAAAGCUGUCAGCCGCUGCUUUGAUGGCUGUGGAGCAGUUGACAGAGGUAAUGGGGAGCCAAAUGUCAGCGGAUAAGAGGAGGAACAUGGAUGCUGGUUGCCCCGCAACUGAAGGGUGAAGAAGCUGGGGAGCAGUUUGACAGAAAUCAAAGGAAGGCCACUUGAAGAUGCCUGGAAAGGUUGUAGAGUAUGGUACUGAUGCUGCGCUGUUUAAGGAAGAUGAGGGAGACACAGAUAUUAAUAUUGCAAAGAUGAGAGACGCAAAUACUGAUUGGAGACCCUACCUGGAGACCGUAGGGGUUUCAUACACUGAACUUUGUUUAAAGAAAUCAGACCCAGAAUGCACUGCUCCAAAGCACGGUGACGUUUCUCCGAGGUGUUUUCCAGAAGGUUCUCCUCACCAGUCUCUUUGGUUUGGUUUUACAUUUUUUGUACAUUCUGAGUUUUAUUUCAAUAAAAAAAUGUAAGCAAUAAUUUCUGCUGCAUAUGAAUAUUUAUAGCACUGGGGUGAAAUGGAUGCUGAUGAUGGGUUCUGCUGAUAGUAAUUUAGUAGUAAUUUUGAUAGAAAUGUAUUUUGUGUUACUAGUGUUAAUAAAAAAAAAUGAUUGUGGAUACUAUAGUUGUUA
rnacentral:lncRNA from 1 species